rnacentral:rRNA from 1 species
AACGAACGCUGGCGGCAGGCUUAACACAUGCAAGUCGAACGCACCUUUCGGGGUGAGUGGCAGACGGGUGAGUAACGCGUGGGAAUCUACCCUUCUCUACGGGAUAGCUCCGGGAAACUGGAAUUAAUACCGUAUACGUCCUGAGGGAGAAAGAUUUAUCGGGGAAGGAUGAGCCCGCGUUGAAUUAGCUAGUUGGUGGGGUAAAGGCCUACCAAGGCGACGAUCCAUAGCUGGUCUAAGAGGAUGAUCAGCCACAUUGGGACUGAGACACGGCCCAAACUCCUACGGGAGGCAGCAGUGGGGAAUAUUGGACAAUGGGCGCAAGCCUGAUCCAGCCAUGCCGCGUGAGUGAUGAAGGCCCUAGGGUUGUAAAGCUCUUUCAGUGGGGACGAUAAUGACGGUACCCACAGAAGAAGCCCCGGCUAACUUCGU